AUUUAUAUAUUUAUAUAUAUUUAUAUAUGAUUAGAUAACAGUAGAAGAUUAAGAAAACAUCAAUAAAUUAUUUUCUGAUUUGUUUACUUACAAUGAUAAAAGUGACAUUAUCAGGGAUGACUGCUUAGUUAAGCGUUUGAAAAGUAAAGUUAGAUUUCUAUUUAUAAAUUUCAAGACAUGAUUGAAUAUGAACAAUCAAAUCGUGGAAAUACUAAGAAAAUGUGGGUGAAUAUAUAACAUUGGAGUGAGAGAACACUUUUAUGGCAGAAUCUUUAAAGAUUGCUGAGUAUAUAAUGUUUUGACAUAAGUAAUUUAAAGGCAAAUAAUUAGAGCACAAAAGAUAGAAAAGGUAAUAAAUGAAGUCUUAAAUUCAUUCCAGUAAAAAAUAAUUUGUAUCCAGUAAAAAAAAAAAAAAAGCACUCCAAUAGGAAAUGGGUAAUAAAGAUGAAAAAAGGUAGUAUCCAGUAGUUAAAACUACCAUAUUCUUAAGAUGAUAUUUAGUGUUGGUGAAACUGUAGGGGAAUGUAAAACAGAAUAUAGCCUUUCCAGCAAGUAUCAGAUUUUCAAAAUGUGCACAGAUCAUUCACUGUCAUCCUCUUAUUCCUAGAAUACAAAUCAGACUAAUGAACAUGGCUUACAAAAUCCUGAAAGGUUGUGCUCUCGCCUCCUGUCAGUUUGAGCUCCUCCUUAAUUCCUGGUUUAGCUAGGCUGCUCUUCCAAUUCCUGCACCUUCCAGCCCCGGACUUUUUAAAUUGCUGUUCUUUUUGCUGCAAACACACACAGUUUCUUCCUUCUUUGCCUCACUAGCACUAAUGACUCAUCAGAUCUCAGCAUAAUUGCCAAUUCUUUGGGAGGCUUUUCCCUGGAAGCACAGUUUAUUACUUUGCCUUUAACACUGUUGCAGUUUACAUUUAUUUCCUUGUUUCUCUCACCAUAUAGAAGGGAUGAAGUUGGGGAGAACCUGGUAUUUAGUUCAGUCCUGGAUGAGUGCCAGCAGAAGUUUGAAAGGAUGUCAUGCAUGUGUGAGAUUUAGCUUUCCAGAUAUUCAUUGCAUUGUUGGUUACUAGGAAAAAAAUCAGAAUUAGCAGAUGUUCAGCAGAGUGAGCUAUGGCCACAUUUGAACACUGUUUGGGUCCAUGAUUAGGGAUGGCUUAUUUCAAGACUGAUGUAAUUAUUGCAUCCAGAAGAAAGGUCUGGAUUUUAACCUGGGAGCUAAAUAGAUAAACUAUCAAAGCUGGCAGAAAUGCCCCAUGGGUCAGAGCCUAAAGCCAGGUACAGGGUGGGGAGAGGAUGCAGAGUUAAUUGUGAGACUGAUCAGUUUCAUUUCUGUUGGAAGUUGGAGAGAAGAUAAUUGGAGCUGUAGAUCUCACUGGGGGUGGGCAGCAUUGUGGGGACACCCCUCUGGAGGAAAUGAGCAAGUCCCUGCCUCCUAGCAGCAGGGUGGGGCCUAAGGAGAAAGGUCCUGGUUAUAAACUCCUGUGAAGGGAUGUCACAGGUUCUAAGAACACUGAAAUGCGUGAGCCACUGUUAUUUUUCCUACAUUGUUAAUUCCCUUCUGUUAGCCUCACAUUCAUUAAGUCUUUGUCAAGAACUACAGCCCAAUGUGAGCUGUGUUUUGGAUGAUUCAGGGAGGGACUGUGUCCAUACUGGGGCCAGAUGGUACCUAGGUGGCUGGGGUAAUCCAAACACUGGUCUCAAGGCCAGAUUGUGACUAGUAACAACCAGGAUAUAUGUUUCUGGAAUAUAAACACUUCUAGGACUUCUUACAUUAUUAUACAUUACCAUAAAGACUAGACCUACAGUGAGAGGGUCAGAUUUAUGUUAGAUAGGUAAAAGAAAAGGGUGAUCUGGAGGGCUGGAGAAUUGGAGACAUUCACAUCAUACUUUGGUGACAUAAUUAGAUGCCACAGCUCACCAGUAUUGUAACUAUUUUCCUUGGCUCUUUCUACCAUCGCUAUUGAAAUUAGGCUUUUCAAAUUAGUGGCAGGAAAGGCCAUAUUUGGAGCUUCAAAUACACAGUCCCAGUGGCAGUUCUUGCCUCUGUGUUUUUUUGUUGUUGUUGUUUGCUUGUUUGUUUUGAGACGGAGUCUCACUCUAUCGCCCAGGCUGGAGUGCAGUGGCACUAUUUCGGCUCACUGCAACCUCUGCCUCAGCCUCCCAAGUAGCUGGGAUUACAAGCGCCUGCCAACACGCCCAGCUAAUUUUUGUAUUUUUAAUAGAGAUGGGGUUUCACCAUUUUGGCCAGGCUGGUCCUGAACUCCUGACCUCCUGAUCCACCUGCCUCGGCCUCCCAAAGUGCUGGGAUUACAGGCGUGAGCCACUGCGUCCGGCCUUGCCUCACCGUUAAAAGACUACAAUAUGACGUGAUACAUCAGCUUUUUCGAAGUCCAGUGUACGUCAGACCCUGAGGCCUGCAGUAUCUGGAAUGGUGUUGCUGGAUGUGCAAAACUGCCAGGCUCUGGCUUGUGGUGUUCUCAUCUACCAGAUCAUUCCUGGGAGGCCCAAUUUGGCCAGCUGGCUCACCUCUGCCGGUGGUAUUGCUAGCAUUGCACAUUGGAACUGCAGCUUGGGAAAGUGAUAGAAACCAAACACAUGGUGGGUACAAAGCAAGUUUGUUGUAUUUUAUCCACAUUAGUAUUUUGGAUGUUUCAAUAUUUAAACAUUUCAAAAAGCAAAAUCAAUGAUAAUACUUCUUGAAUGUGUUGUGAACAAUGCAAGCCUUUUAUUAAAAAUUAUGGAAUAUUCGAAAGAAAUGUUUUUCUUACAAGAGAGCAGAGAAUAAUUACUCAGGGUUCCUGUGUCAAAGCCUCUAGGGCCCCUUUACUGUCCAGAAUUCUUAGUAAGUGGAAAACCUUUCCCAAGCACAAUGAAGUCUCAACCCUGAUACGGGCAGGACAGCAAAAGACCUGUCUCCUCUUUCCAGAGCAAACCCCAGUGGUUGCACCUGUCCUCCCAUUACACUUUGGGGAUAAACCCUGGAGGCCAUAGUGUAGGGGACCAGUUUCAUGGGUCUUGUUGCCAAAGCUUACUUUUUUGAUCCUACUGCUAAAUUCUGACCCUUCCUCCAAUUGAUCUGCUUUCCAAAAAGAGCAUACCAACACCUGCACAAACCAUUUGAUGUGGUGCAGUAAGCUGUUUCAUCCAAGUGUUCCAAAGCCAUAGGAUGAGCAAGGGGGAAAAACUUAGACCUGUAUAGGAUCUUCCCCCAGGUAGUUACUCUUUCACAGGGGGUGCAUGGGAGACAGGCUGCUGUUGUGCCAUCCUUUCCAUUACAUAAUGAUAACAACUGUUACUUGGAAUGCUUUAAUGCUUGAUGUUAUUUAUGUUUAAAUAUUUGCUGUAUUCCUGGCUCUGUGCUAAAUGCUAUGCCUGCAUCUUAAAAAAUCCUUAAAAUAACUCAAGGUAGGUACCAUUGUUGCUUCCAUUCUCCAGAUGGGACACUAAGACUUUAAGAAGUUAAAUAGCUCACCUGAAAACACACAGCUAGUAAGUAACACAAUGGAGACUUGAACCCAAGUCUAUUCUACUCUAGACCAUGGACUCCAAGAUUAAUUAAUUAUGCAAAUAAGGAAUGUGGAGAGUUCAGCCUUGAGCAAAGGGAGAUUAGCUUGUUUUGCACCAACUCUUCUGCUGAGGAAAGGACAAAAGCCAGAAUAUACAUACCUAUUCAGGGAUCAGAGGGCUGUUGAGAAAGCAAGGGCUAAUAUUCGAGAGACCUACAUUUGAUACUGUUCGUUUCCCCCUCAAGGGACUUGCUAAUUCAAGGGCAGGGGCUGAGAAACUGAACAGAAUUUGUAGAAGACUAAUGCAGACCAAAAAUUAGAGUUGGGGUCCAAGUAGAAGCAGCCCUGGAAAACACCCCAGACUUUCUCGUGGGACCCCAAAGAGCUACUCUUUGAUUAAAGGUGAAUUGGUUAUGGGCCUGUCCUCACAAGGACUGAAGCCCAGCCUCAGAUCUAGUGGAUAGCCAGAAGCAAAAACAAAGCCCCUCUGAAGGAGGACAUGGUCUAAUUUCUCAAAUUUUCUCUAUUAAUUGUUUUCAAAGUCUGCUUAAGAAAUAGGAAUGCAAAAACACAAGAUUCGACCAACAAUGAGAAAGUGAACAAUAGAAACAGACCUCCAGGAAAUUCACGUAGUUAACAUUAUCUGACCGGUGUCUUACAAUAACUAUGAUUAAAAUGUUCAUGAAUUAAAUGACCAAAUGGAACAACUUCAGGAGAGAACUGGACACUAUGUUUAAAAUUCUAGAAUUGAAAAAUAAUAUAACAAUUUAAGAAAUCAGUAGAUGGCUCUGAUAGACACAACUUAAGAGAUAGGUAAUGAAAUGAAAGAUAAGAAAAUAUCCAGACUGGUGCUGGGGGUAAAUAGGAAGACAACUAUUCGAAGAGUUAAUGGUUAAGGUUGUUCCCAAAUUAAUGAAAGACAUUAAGCCACAUAAAUAAGAAAUGCUGUUGACCUCUAAGCAGGAUAAGUUACAAUGAAAGUUAUACUUAAUUACUUCAUAGUAAAACUACUGGAAAACAAAGACUAAUUUUAAAAGUAGCCAGAGGAAAAAUAUAUAUUACUUUCAAAGGAGCAACAGCAAGCCUUGAGAGGGAAUUUUCAGCAGAAGUAAUGAUAGUGGAAAAUGGAAUGGUGUUUUCAAAGAGCUUCAAGAAAAUAAUAGUCAACCUAGAAGACUAUGAGGCAAAAAUAUCCUUCCAAAGACACGUCCAGACAAAGGAAAAUAGAAUUUGCCACCAAUGAAAAGUACCAAAAGUAUGAAAGGAAAGUACUAAAGGGUGUUGUUGGAGCAGAAGGAAAAUGAUCACUGACCACAGCUGGAGGUGCAGAAAGGCAUUGAAAGGCAAUGGAAAGGGUAAGUAUGUGUAUAAAACUAAAUAAAUAUUGAAUGUGUGAAACAACUUUUUACUUUCUGGGGUCUUAAAUAUAUAAAGAACUAAAAUACAUCACCAAGAGAAGCACGUUAAGUGUGGAGGGAGGUAAAUGUAGGGGUCCCCAACAUUUCUGGCACCAGAGACCAGUUUUGUGGAAGAUAAUUUUUUCCCAGACAGUGGGUGGAGGGGUGGAGGGAUUGGGAGCAUGGUGUUGGGAUGACACUGUCCCACCUUAAAUCAUCAGGCAUUAGAUUCUCAUAAGGAGUGCACAACCUAGAUCCCUCACAUGCACAGUUCACAAUAGGGUUAGCGCUCCUAUGAGAAUCUAAUGCUGCUGUUGGUCUGACAGGAGGUGGAGCUCAGGCGGUAAUGCUUGCUGGCUUGCCACCCAUCUCUUGCUGUGCAGCCCAGUUCCUGACAGGCCACUGACCAGUACUGGUUCACAGCCUGGGGACUGUGGACCCCUGGGUAAAUGGAAUUAAAGUAUUCUGAAGUCCUUGAAUUGUCUUGAAAGUGAAAAUGGUGGAGGCACUGAUUUAUAUUAGAAAUUAAUAAAUCAGGGGUACAUGUUUCAGUUUCUACGGUAUUUUGUAAAAGAAUAAGAGUAUGUAAAACUAACAAGAUAACAGAAGGAGAAUAUGAAAUAAAAUAAUCCAAAGGAAGGCAAAAAGAAAAAAAGGCGCAUAGAACAGAUGGGAACAAAUAGAAAACAAACACCCACAUGCAUCAAUCUCUACAUCAAGCAUAUGUGGACUAAAUAUUCCAAUUCAAAGGCAAUAUUAUUAUCACCCUGGAUAAAGAACAAAUAUAAUUCUCUGAGACUUAAAAACAACAUACCUUAAACAAGGAUACAGAAAGAUGGAAAGUAAAAGGAUGGAAAAAGGACUAUCAUGCAAGUAUUAACCAAAAGGAAGCUGGUGUAUUUAGUACACGAAGUGAACUUUCAGGUAUUACCAGAGUAUGAAGGAUAUUUCAUAAUGAUAAAGGGCUUGCUUUACCAGUACUAUACCGAUGGCUGAGGUAUUUGGGCUGUCUGUGAGGCUCAGAUGGGCUGCCUGUGGCCCUGCCUCACCUUGGAGAUGGCCCAGGAAGCUAACUGAGACUUGGAGUUGGUCGAAGAGGAGCCAGACUCUAAAUAUUUGAAGAUUGUGUGCGUAUGUGUGUGUGUGUUUAGGGGAAAACAUGAGAGGUAGAGUACUAUUCAAAAGGACAAGAAGUGGAACAUUUUCUUUUAUAAAUCAAAUAAAUGGUGGCUCUGAGCCUUCCCCCACCUCCUGCCUUUUUUGGGUCCAGAUUGCUAAGAAAUGUUAUUAAUGAUAGCUCACACUUACGACAUUAUUGCCUUCUAAGUGCUUUGUAGGUAUUAAUUUAUUUAAUCCUCACAACAGCCUUAGGAGACAGGCAUCAUCACUACCAUCGCCAUUUUACAGAUGGAAAAACCAGCAACCAUCAGAGCUGGUAUUCAAAAUAAGCCAAUUCAGAUUCCGAGUCCCGGCUCCUAACCAUGGAGUGGCCUCAGGGUUUUAUAGUUUGUCCGGCUCUUUGGAUGAACAUCACACCUCAUGGAGGAGAGUCCCUUCCAUUUUAACGGCUCCAGGUUGUCAUGGAAAUCCUCUGUAUACAAGAGGGUAAGGAGGAGGAUGAGAAGCAAUACAUGCUUAUUGGGACUUUCUAUCAUCCCAGGACUUAUCCAGGUACAUUAUAACAAUGUUGAAUACAGUAUUAGUCCCAUUUUAACUAUGAGGAAAAUAAGGUUUGGACUGUCAGAGACAGAGCAAGACACAUUGGUAAGGGCAGACAAGGGAUUCAUCUGACUCCAAUGCCUCUUCCUUGGUAAACCAGACUGGCUUGUCACACCGUGAAAUUAGAGUCAACUUGUUAAAUCUUGACAGGUUGCUAAAUUAUUAAUUACACCCCCAGGAGCUGUGACUGGAGCAGCAGGGAUGCUAUGGCUGCACUGUACUAUUUUUAGCACUAGAUGGUGCUGUAACACUGCACAUCUCUUCCGCGGUGGCCCUUGGAGGAAGGUUACUUCAGGGCUUGGAGACCCUGGAGGGAAGGAUGCUACCUUACCAGAGCGUGAAAAAAACAUGGAAGACAGGAUACUCUCGGGCCCUGAGAAAGCUGGAGACUGUAGCCACCAGGUGGCUCCAGGAUGUGCAGUACUGGCGUCUGGGUUUUGCUCACACAACCGUGAACUCCUGGUCCCACCGAGCCCUAGCGAGUGGAUUGGAGCACACACCCACCCACCUCCUCAGAGCUCCUACGAGUAGAGGAGGUACCUAGGCACGUGGGAGCUUGGCGCCUUGUUAGGUGCUCAGGAUACUGGUUGUCCGGAAUCCCAGUGAGGUGCAGUCCCGCCCUUGUGCCACUUUCCCAUGCGCUUCCUGCCCCUCUGGGGGCUGCAGAGGCUGCAGAGUUGUCCAGCUUGAGAAACUGUAUCAAGGUUGCUCCCUGACGGCCUGGCAACUCGCUGAAGAGCUGCCUUCAGUUCAGAACAGUUUUAGGGAGAUUGUCAUAAACUCAAUGAGUUUAAAUGAUUUUACACUGACUCUUCAAAAAUGUCAAGGUCAUGAAAGACAAAGGCCGAGGAACUGCCCCAGACUGGAGGAGGCGGGAGACAUGGCAGCUGUGAAUGCACCGUGGGUCCUGAACCAGAAAAAGGAGCUCAGUGGGACGAUUGGUAACUUUUUGAUGCAAUCUGUCGGUGAGCUAAUAGUAUUGCUUCGAUGUUAAUUUCUUGGUUUUGAUCACUGUACUAUAACUAUGCAGAGUGUUAACAUUUGGGGAAGCUGGGUAAAGGGUAUGUGGGAAUUCUUUGUGCUAUUUUUGCAACUUUUCUCAUCAAGUUGGAAAUUAUUUCAAAAUUGAAAGCUAAUAAAAAUUACAAAAAUGUUCUUAACAUUAUUAUGGAAUAUUUCAAACAUAUAGAAAAAUAUAGAGAAUAAGCCUGGCCACUUUUACAGGUGGCUCAAAGGUACUGUUGGCACCAGACAGAGGAAUGAAGUUCCUGUAGGAGUUAAGCAUUGAGCUCUGCUGUCUCGCUUUCUGUGUCCAGAGGUGGCUCCUGGUAGUUGAAUUAGACCAUUACAUUUUGGGCAAGAGCUAUUUAAAUUUUUGGCAGCCUCUACUUUAGAAUAAAUCAGCAGACAAUCCACCUCUAUGGCCAUAGUAUUUGCUUAGUAAGAUAACACCUUAUUCCAACGCCCUACUUAGCAAUUCUCUUGGGAGACUUUUUUUUUUUCCAGACCUUGUCUUUUAUUACAGGGAUCUAAUCAUUACUGUCUAAAACAAAAACAUAUAGAUAAAGAUGGCCCCAAUUGCUUAAUGCUGCUUUUGAUAUUUUUCUUUAACUUCUUUAACUUUCAAAAAUGAACUUUUAAUUUUAGAACAGUUUUAGAGUUUCAGAAAAAUUGCAAAGAUGAUACAGAGUUACCAUAUUCUCUGCAGCCAGUUCCCCCUAUAUUAUCAGCUUACCUUAGUAGGGGAUAUUUGUUGCAAUUAAUGGACCAUUAUUGAUACAUCAUGAUUAACUGAAGUCCAUACUUUAUUUGGAUUUCCUUAGUCUAUCUAAUGUCUCUUUUCUGUUCCAGAAUCCCCUCCAGGAUUCCAAGAUAUCACAUUAAAUUUAGAUGUCAUGUCUAUUUAUGCUACUCUAGGGUGUGACAAUUUCUCAGAUUUCUUUGUUUUUGAUGUCCUUGAUAUUUUUGAGGAGUAUGGGUGGAGUAUUUUUAUAGGAUGUCUCUUGAUUUGGGAUUUGUCUGAUAUUUUUCUCAUGAUUAAACUGGGGCUAUGUGUUUUUAGGAGGAAGACAACAGGGGUAAUGUGCCAUUUUCGUCAUAUCAUAUCAAGAAUACAUAGUAUCUCUGGGCAUGGUGGCAGUCCAUAAAAAUUAGCUGGGUGUGGUGGCAGGCUGCUCAGGAGGCUGAGGCAGGGGAAUUGCUUGAACCCAGGAGGCAGAGGCUGCAGUAGGCCAAGACUGUGCCACUGCACUCCAGCCUGGGUGACACAGCGAGACUCCAUCUCAAAAAAGAAACACAUGAUAUUGACCUUCACCACCUGGCCACCUGGUAGUAUUUGUCAGGUUUCCCCACUGUAAAGUAAUUCCCACCUGCCUUCCACACUGAGCUCUUUGGAAGGAAGUCACUGUGUGCAGCCAAGAAGGAGCAGGGAGUUAUGCCUCACUGCUUUGAGGAUGGAGUAUCUACGUAAAUUAUUUGGAAUUCUUCUCUAUGGAGGGAUUUAUCUCUUGCCUCCCAAUUAUUUAUUUAUUCAAUCCAUUUAUUUGUGUUAGUAUAGACUCAUGGAUAUUUAUUUUAUACAUUGGGUUUUAAUCCAAUAUGACUUUAUUUUAUUGCUAAAAUUGUUUCAGCUUUGGCCAUUGGGAGCUCUUUCAGGUGGCUCCUAUGUUCCUAUUUAAUUGCUGUAUAAUAAUUGUACAUAUUAAUGUGGUACAUGUGUCAUUUUGAUCCGAGCAUAUAAUGUGUACUCAAAUCAGGGUAAUUGGGAUAUCCAUCACCUCAAAUUUAUCAUUUCUGUGUGUUGGGAACAUUCCAAAUCUUCCUUUCUUGCUAUUUUGAAAUACACAGUAAGUUCUUGUUAACUAUAGUCAUUGUACUGUGCUAUCAAACACGAGAACUUAUUUCUUUUAUCUAACUGUAUUUUUGUACCCAUUAACCAACUUCUCUUCCUGCCUCCCCCUCACCCUUUCCUGGCCUCUGGUAACCACCAAUCUACUAUCUUCUUGAGAUCCACUUUUUAGCUCUCCCAUGAGAGUGAGAACAUGUGAUAUUUGUGUUUCUGUGCCUGAUUUAUUUCAUUUAACAUAAUGUCUUCCUGUUUCAUUCAUGUUGCUGCAAGUGACAAGAUUUCAUUCCUUUUCAUGGCUGAAUAGUACUUUAUUGUGUCUAUAUGCCACAUUUUUUAAUCCAUUCAUCUGUUGAUGGAUACUUAGGUUGAUUCUACAUUUUUGCUAUUGUGAAUAGUGCUGCAGUAAAUAUGGGAGUGCAGAUAUCUCUGGUAUACUGGUUUCCUUUCUUUUGGAUAGAUACCCAGUAGCAGGAUUCCUGGAUCAUAUGGUGGCUCUAUUUUUAGCUUUCUGAGGAACCUCCACACUGUUUUCCAUAGUGGUUAUACUAAUUUAUAUUUUCACCUAUGUGUACAAGCUUGCCCUUUCUUCAUGGCCUCAAGCAUGUUAUUUUCUGUCUUUUUGAUCAUAGCCAUUUUAACUGGAGUGAGAUGAUAUCUCAUUGUGGUUUUGAUCUGCAUUUCCAUGCUAAUUAGUGAUGUUGUGUUCCUUUGAUAUAUCCCCAUCAUUGAGACUUUUCUUUUGAGCACUUGCUUAUUUCCUGGCAUAAUAAGAUGUUCCAGGCUCAUCUUGUAUAUUUUCUGCUCCAGUGCUAGAAUCAGCCAUUUCUCCAAUGAGCUUUUGGGAGAUAUUUGCUUUCUUGAUUACAGUUAGGAUUUUCUCAUAAGGGAAGUUUGUUGAUGGCCUGCAAACAAAUAGUAAAAUAGUAUGUGAUGUCAUGAAAAUUAAUUGUAUUUUUCCUUCUAGAUUUUGCAUAUAGAAGACGGUAAUUUUAAAAACAGUGAAAGAAGAAAUGUAUCUGAGAAUUCAAUCAGUCAAUAGACUUUAGACAUCUGAAAAGAAAACACAAGAGGUUCGGUUGGUGCAAUGUUCCUUUCUUCCCAGGACUUUCUGGUCUUCAAGGCUUUCUCAUGAGACAGAAGACUGAUGGAUGUAGAAGUUUCUAAGAGGACAGUUACGCUGCCAUGUUUUGAAGCAGGAAGACGUUACCACUUCUCAAAGGUCUUUAAUUGCCUGACCACUGCUUCUCUUUGGAAGGCUGUCAGGGUGAUGGAAUCUCAGAUCACAGCACAGAUAAAAUGGACAAAGAAAGAAAGAUACAAGAAGGAUGUAAAAAUGUCCAUAAUGAACUCAUGUAUCUUGCGGAAACCUCUAAUCUAAUGAGAAUGGAUUUUGUUGAGAAGAUUGUACACCAACAAUUAAUUAUUCAUGGCAGAGACAUCAUUAAGAUUUCAUUUUGUUUAAAGGCCUCUAAGUGACUUAGGAAAUUAGGUUAAGCUAGAGAAGAAUUUCAAGAAAGAGACAAGGGAAAGCUUUUCGUUAUAUUGACUUUUUCUAAUAUUUUCCAGAUAGAUAUUUUGACUUGGUACAUAAAUUAUACUCUGACUAAAAAUCUCCAAUGAUUUGUCUGAGUAAGAGUCUUCACAUGGGUGGAUCAUAUACCAGUGUGGUCAGAUGGAAGCAGAUGGACAGAGAUUUGUGAAAGGAUUAGGAGGUUCAUUCCAGAAUUCUAUAAUAAUUCAAUUUGGCUUUUUGGUUAGGAAUGUAGUGAGGAGUCUCCUUGAAAUGACAAUGGGAUUUGUGCAACCUGUGACAUUUUGCACUCAAGGAUCCUUUUCCCAGUGCCCUAUGGGAUGUGAGCACCUGUUCACUUACAGUACAUGUAAGAUAAGACACUUUUAAUAAAAACUCUGGAGACCUGGUGUAGUAUAGGCCCUAUGCCUGCUUAUCUUAAAGACAAACACCAGAAACUGGUGUCACGUUGUGAGUUCAAUGUGAGAUUGAUUCAAAACAUAAAGCUAGAGAUCUAGUGUAAAUUUUCAGAGGGAUAUUGAUUACAGGAUCAAUUUCUAUGGGCAAUUAAUGCAGGGGUUUGGUUUAUGUUUGAAUUCCAAGCACCCAGUGGUAUUCAAAAAUAGCAUCCAAUUUUACAUAAAAUGUAAAAUUACAUUUUGUGUUCGAUUUGGGCACCCUGUCAUGAUUUACAAUAAAGGUUUGGGCUUUUGUUUUCUUGUUCCUUCAUUAGAAAGGUUAGAACUUGCCUUUCCUCCAUGAUCACUAUUCCAGUGUCCCGGGUGCUUGGGAUUCAAAACUAAACUAAAAUUUCUUAGUGGUUGAGAAAUGUUAAGGUUGAAAUAGUAGAUCAGGCCAUGUCUGCAUGGAGAACAUCACAGCAACUGAGAACUGCAAUAGAAGAGGCUUGGUAAAGGGAGAAUCUCUUCCCUGUUUGUGAAUUAAAUAGUCCUGUAACACCUUUAGGGUAAUAAAGAAUUAGGGUUGGCGCCCUGCACCUACACGGCUAGAGUUGGGGAGAAAAUAGACCUCCAGAUGUGGAGCCAGGAAGACCUGGGUUGAGUUUUUAGCUGUGUCCUGGGCCAACAACCACAGCAGCAGCAACACCCACCACAUGCACCGGUCUCCAUCUGCCUCAAAGAACUACACACUGUAGUAGAGGGAAAGAGUCAAUAAUCAAUAAAUGCACCAAAUAAGUAAAUUAUGUAAAUUUAUAUAAAAGAGUCAAUAAAUAGUAAGUGCAAAAAAUAAGUAAAUAAGUACAUCUAUUAUGGUAAAAAGUGAUCAUUGCUAUAGAAAAAAAUAGAGGUGUGCCUAAUAAUUUAUUUAUGAAAAUCUGCUUUAACAUUUUUCGGAAAGCUGUCUCCUGGAAAAACAAGUAGUCUCUUAACUUUAUACAUUUCCAGGACAAAAUAUUAUAACCACUGCUUAACUGAUGGUGAUAUCAAGUCAAAAUGUAUGCAGCUUUUAUACAAUGGCAGCUCUAAUUUCCAGCAGCACAGAAAUUCUCCCAGUGAUUCCCUUAUUUUAAUAUCACAGCUAACCACCUAUUUAUGUGUUUCUUUAUCUCAGCCUCUCUGUACCUCUGUGUUACGUGGAGAGACGAGAUGGCAUGUUGUUUAUGUAGCUUGAUACAUACCAUAGCCAGAAUUCCAGAACACAGUUUACAUACUUUACAGUUAAAUGUUUAGGCCUCAAGAACAGGAAUCAAAUACUUUGCUUUCAACACUGCUUCCUUCAUGAGAAGGAGAAAUCUCAUCCCUGAGGGUGGCUCCAGGGCCCUGGCCCCAGUAAAACACAAGCCCUGGAACAAAGCAGAGGCCUGGGUAGAAGGAAUUGUUUGCUCUGUUAGCUUAGCUUGAGGCCAAAUAGAGGGAAUUUGUUUUCAAGCCAGACAGGUGCACUUGAGGGUACAGAAAGGAGACUGGCAUUUGGGAUUGAGCCUCAGGAUGGGUCCAUCUUGACCUGUUUUUUUUUUUUUUUCAACUGAUUAGUCAAUCAUGGCUUGUUGCUUCUUAAGUCCUAAGAAUUUUAGAAUUCAGGCAGCCAGUAAUGGUUUACAAUAAAGACUUGGCACUUUGGGAGGCCGAGGCAGGUGGAUCACCUGAGGUCAGCAGUUUGAGACUAGCCUGGCCAAGAUGGGGAAACCUCAUCUCUACUAAAAAUAAAAAAAAUUAGCGGGGAGUGGUGGCGGGUGCCGGUAGUCCCAGCUACUCGGGAGGCUGAGGCAGGAGAAUGGCGUGAACCCGGGAGGCGGAGCUUGCAGUGAGCCAAGACUGCGCCACUGCACUCCAGCCUGGGCGACAGAGCGCAACUCCAUCUCAAAAAAAAAAAAAAAAAAAAAAAAAGGUGAACAGUAGCUUUUUUUUUUUUUUUUUUUUUUAAGACAGAGUUUCGCUCUUGUUGCCCAGGCUGGAGUGCAAUGGCACCUUCUCAGCUCACCAUGACCUCUGCCUCCCAGGUUCAAGAGAUUCUCCUGCCUCAGCUUCCCAAGUAGCUGAGAUUACAGGGUUGCGCCACCACGCCUGGCUAAUUUUGUAUUUUUAGUAGAGACAGGGUUUCUCCAUGUUGGUCAGGCUGGUCUCAAACUCCCGACCUCAGGUGACCUGCCCACCCCGGCCUCCCAAAGUAUUGGGAUUACAGGCAUGAGCCACUGUGCCUGGCCAAUAGUAAUUUUAAACAACAGCCAAGGAAGCUAGAGCUACAAACUCUUUCGUUCCCUAUAGAAACUAAAGGUAACAUCUUCACAUAUGUCUUUGAGUUGUUUUUUAUAAACCUGGACCCCCAGCAAAUGGAAAAUGCCAUCUGCCGGCCUGUAGACCUCAGAUAAGGGGGAACAAGGACUGAACUCUGCCUGCCACUUAUUCUAAAUUUCUUCCUGAGGUGCCCAGAGGAAGUCAUGCCCACAGGCCAGAGCUCAACAUUCCUUUUGACUGACCCCAAGUUUUUAAACAAAGCUUAAUCAAUCACAAGUCAGGAAAUCUUUGAAUUCACCUAUGACCUUUAGUCCUCCCAACCCCGUUUCAGGAUGUCCUGCCUUUUUUAGGCCAAGCCAAUGUAUAGCUUCAUUUUGUUGAUUGAUGACUUUGCCUGUAACCUCUGCCUUCCUGUCUAUAUUAGGCAGUUCUUGCAUUGCUAUAAAGUAAUACCUGUGACUGGUAAUUUAUAAAGAAAAGAGGUUUAAUUGGUUCACAGUUCUGCAGGCUGUGCAGGAAGCAUGAUGCUGGCAUCUGCUUGGCUUCUCAGGUGGCCUCAGGAAGCUUACAGUCAUGGUGGAAUGUGAAAGGGGGGCAGGUACCUCACAUGGCAAAAGCAGGAGAGAGAGAGAGAGAGAGAUUGAGAGAGAGGGAUUGGUGGGGGUAGGUGCCACACACCAUUAAAGAACCAGAUCUCAUGUGAACUCAGGGCGAGAGCUCACUCAGCACCAAGGGGAUGGCCCAAGCCAUUCAUGAGAAAUCUACCCCUACAAUCCAGUCACCUCCCACCAGGCCCCACCUCCAAUACCUGGGAUUAUAAUUCAACAUGAGAUUUGGGCAGGGAGAAAUAUACAAACUAUAUCACUGCCUUAGAAAAACCCUUAUCUGUCAGCCAGUGGGGAGUUCUGGUGUUAAGCAUGAGCUGCCCAAUUCUCCUUGCUUGGCGCUUUGCAAUAAAUGCCUCACUUUUUCUUGCCGUAAAUCCUGAUAUCAGUGUUUGGCUUUGCUGUGCCAGGUAGCUGGGCCCAAGUUCUGUUUGGCAAUAUUCUCAUCUGGUUCCUUCCUCUCGUGCUCAACACCUCGCAGUGGCUUCCAUUCCACGUGGAGUAAAAGCCAAAGCUCCCCUAUGCACCUCUCUGACCUACCCCCAAUCAUGCCCUCUCCUCAGCCCCUCCUCUCCAGCCACCCUACCCUCCUGCUGGUUCCUGAACACCUUUGGCAGGCUCCCACCUCAGGGUUCAGGACCUACUCUUAUUUCCCUGAGCUUUCCUCCGCACACACCCACCCCUACAUUUCUCUAUUUACCCGAGUCCCCAUCACCAUCUAGGAGACUGUAUGUUUUACUUGCAGAUUACAUUUAGUGCUUAAUCCAUGGCUCUCCCUGCUAGUGAUGUCGCUGUGGUCUUUUAUUUGCUGAUGUAUCUCCAGUGUUUAGAUCAGUGCCUGGUACAAAGUAGAUGCUCAAUAAAUAUUUGCUGAGUGAA